GAAGGCCCCACUGUCUUAAGGAAAUUCCCAGUGAAAUUGAAUUCGUAGUGAAGAUGCUACGUCCAAUUUGUUAGACGAAAAGACCCCGUUGAGCUUUACUGGGGCACUUACACGGCCCCGGCCUUCCCGUGUCCGGGAACCGGCCGAAUUUAAAUGGGUGGUUUAGACUAUGUGGCAGCCCCCCGCCGGGGCAGAUGAAACCCCACUCCCCCAUGUCAAAGGGGCUAACCCCCCCCUUGGGGGGGACAGUGUAAGUAGGACAGUUUGGUUGGGGCGACCGCCUUUUAAAGAGUAACGAAGGUGCGCUUAAGGUGCGCAAUUAAUGACUGAAGCCUGACUGCGAGGGGGACACCCCGAGCAGACACCCCUAAGCCCGCCCGAAGGGCGGCGGUGGGGUGGGCCAUAGUGACCCGUUAAUUUAGAGUGGAAUAGUUAACGAUCAACGAAUAAAAGUUACCACGGGGA
rnacentral:rRNA from 1 species